CAGCCCACAGGUCGUGCUAGGAAGGAGACGGGACCAGAUAUUGACUGCUGGUUUAAAGUAUAUGCUAAUCCUACAGUCAUUCACUCAGCAACUCCUGAUGGCACCUGUUUUGCACCAGGCGCUGAGCUGAACCCUGGAAGCAGGAAGGAUUGCCAGAUAGUUGGGUGGCUGGGUUACCAUCAGGGAAAGAAUCCUGACUACUACAUUGAAGAUGGAAGCUCUUUAUACACUCAGAACCAUCAUGGACUGGGUAAGGGGGAGGCAGAGAAGAAAACAGAAUUGAAUAUUUCUAGAUCACGUAUUAUUGUGUGCUGUAGAAUAGAGCACAUAUUAAUGUAGGUUAAUUCAUUUAAUCCUCAAAAUGACUUUACUCAGCUAAAUUGAGGAACUUGCUAAGUGCCAUACAAUUAGUAAAUGGCAGAGUUAAGUUCAAACCAAGGACACUCUGCCUGCAAAGAUAUACUUGCUCUGCUCUGAUGUGCUGCCAUUAUCAUCAUCAUCUCCAUCAUCUGCCUCCUCACUGUUACCAUCACCAUCAUCUUCAGGAUGCUCCCUGAGGAUCUGGACCAUAGCGGUAGGAAGCUGAGCUUUCUAACUCAGAAAACAGACCUUCAAACAUAUAAGUAAAUGAGUGUGCAAAUAACUAUAGCAAGAAGUACAAAGUGAUCAGUACCACCAAAGAGGAGCAGAUAUCAUGUUGAGAAAGAUUACUUCCAUCUGAGGUAGACCUCUAGAAAUGGCUGAAGGAAAUCCAAAGACAGGAAGGAGUCUCAACAGAGGCAUUAGGGAUAGGAAUGUCAGAUCAUAAAAGAUUCAGUUUGCACAUUUACAACCUAAACUAAUAUAGUUCUGGUG